rnacentral:rRNA from 1 species
GACAGAGGGUGCAAACGUUGUUCGGAAUUACUGGGCGUAAAGCGCGUGUAGGCGGCUAAGUAAGUCGGGCGUGAAAUCCCACGGCUCAACCGUGGAAGUGCACUCGAAACUGCGUAGCUAGAGUCCUGGAGAGGAAGGUGGAAUGCUUGGUGUAGAGGUGAAAUUCGUAGAUAUCAAGCGGAACACCGGUGGCGAAGGCGGCCUUCUGGACAGUGACUGACGCUGAGACG